rnacentral:rRNA from 1 species
UCGCGCAAUUGGAGCGGCCGAUAUCAGAUUAGCUAGUUGGCGGGGUAAAAGCCCACCAAGGCGACGAUCUGUAGCUGGUCUGAGAGGACGACCAGCCACACUGGGACUGAGACACGGCCCAGACUCCUACGGGAGGCAGCAGUGGGGAAUUUUGGACAAUGGAC